UACGUAGGGGGCUAGCGUUGUCCGGAUUUAUUGGGCGUAAAGAGCGUGUAGGCGGCCAGGUAGGUCUGGUGUGAAAACUCGAAGCUUAACCUCGAGAUGUCAUCGGAAACCAUCUGGCUAGAGUCCGGAAGAGGAGAGUGGAAUUCCUGGUGUAGCGGUGAAAUGCGCAGAUAUCAGGAAGAACACCCGUGGCGAAGGCGGCUCUCUGGGACGGUACUGACGCUGAGACGCGAAAGCGUGGGGAGCGAACAGG
rnacentral:rRNA from 1 species